AACGAACGCUGGCGGCAGGCUUAACACAUGCAAGUCGAGCGCCCCGCAAGGGGAGCGGCAGACGGGUGAGUAACGCGUGGGAAUCUACCCAUCUCUACGGAAUAACGUAUGGAAACGUGUGCUAAUACCGUAUACGUCCUUCGGGAGAAAGAUUUAUCGGAGAUGGAUGAGCCCGCGUUGGAUUAGCUAGUUGGUGGGGUAAAAGCCUACCAAGGCGACGAUCCAUAGCUGGUCUGAGAGGAUGAUCAGCCACACUGGGACUGAGACACGGCCCAGACACCAACGGGAGGCAGCAGUGGGGAAUAUUGAACAAUGGGCGCAAGCCAGAUCCAGCCAUGCCGCGUGAGUGAUGAAGGCCCUAGGGUUGUAAAGCUCUUUCACCGGUGAAGAUAAUGACGGUAACCGGAGAAGAAGCCCCGGCUAACUUCGUGCCAGCCGCCGCGGUAACAC
rnacentral:rRNA from 1 species